rnacentral:lncRNA from 1 species
UCGGAGGCGCGCGGUCGGCGCCCUGCGGGGCAGCCCCGGACAGCCCCGGCGCAGCCUGCUUUCCCGCCUUCUCCGAGGCCAGGCGAGGCGAGGCGAGGCGAGGCGAGGCGAGGCGAGGUCGGUGACAAUCGGGCCUCCCCCUCCCGCUCCUCGGCCUUCCCUGCCCGCGCUCUCCCGGCCUCGGCCGUGGCCGCUUCCCCAGCCUGUCGUCCCUCUGGGGUCGCGGCUUCGCCUUCUCCCUCUUGGGCGCGACCCGUCCCUUUGAUCCUUUCUUUCUCUACCUUAUUCCAGAAGCUCCUGAAAAAUACCUCCUUUUUUCUCUCCCCCUUUUCACGUCACUUCCCUCCCUUCGCCUCGACGAGCGCGCCUUCCCCGCUAGAGGCCAGCACUUUCUCAGUUUCGUCCCUCCAACCGGCGAGCAGAACUCGGAGAGAAAGAAGGAGGGAAAAAAAAAAAAAAAAAAAAGAGGAGAAAGAGCGAGCGAGCGAGCGAGGAGGGGGGAGCCAAACAAAAGCCCCACCAACCCCGAGGCCGAGAGCGCGGAGGCCCGGGAGCGGCGUCGUCAUGGCAACGGGCCGCCGGCAGGAAGCGAGGGACGCGCGGGAGGGGGCGGGGGAGGCCGCCGAGGGGAGGGUACGGGAGGGGAGGGGAGGGGAGGGGGAGGGGCGCGGAGGGCGGGGAGGGGUCCGGCUGCCCCGGAAGCACCUCCCCGCAGCCCCCUCCUCCAGCCCGGCCCGCAGCCCCCGGCCUGCAGCCCCCACCCUCUCGGCCCCGGCAGAAGUGACAGGCCCCGAGCGGCCCCGGAGGCCUGGCGGAGCCGCGGCCGGGCCCGCACCCGGAGCGGCGGGAGGGGCGGGGAGCGGCGGCCGCGCCGGGCCCCUCCCACACCCCGCCCUCGGCGCCCCCGCCCCUCCAGGAAGGGGAGGAGGCGAGGGGAGCCCAGCCGCGGAGGCCGAGCGAGCCCCCCGCCCAGCCCGGCGACUGGGGACCCCGGCACCUGAGGUGGACGCCCCCCGGAGCCCUCGGGUGCGGAGCCGGGCGCGAAGGUAA